CACGAGGGUGAUAAACAAAUCCACAUUGUCUAUUCUGAAAUAUUUGGGAUUAUGGUAAUUCAGUGAUCCCACUUGGAAGUAUUAAAAUUCUCUACUCAUCGUGAAUGGAUCGCUUUACUGUUUCGAUCCUGGUAUCUCGUUUCCCAGGAAAGAGUUCACUCUACUCCCUAAUGAGGUAUAGUAGUUUUACUUGAACGAAUUUUCCGACCGUUGUCCCUAGUGGAAUUCGGAAUCCGAAUUUGAACAUUGCUUGAGAUGGAUGGUCAAGUUAGAAGUAUCUUCCUUCGAUUGCCACGAUCUUCCUUUUACAAGGCGACAAUUUGAAGAAAUAUGAUGAUAAUGUUGACUAUUUGCUAGUACAUCCCUAUAAAAAAUGGGAACUACAAAAUGGAACAAAAUUCCUUGGAGUUACAUAUUUUCACUAUGGAUCUUUGUUUUAAAUUACUUAUUGAAUAUUUUUCUAUAAUACGGACACGCUACCUUAAAGAUAGCCAACUAUAAAGACUUUAUUUAUAUUUAGUUUGAUAAUGUAAAAAUUCUUAACUAAAACGAUCUGCUAUAAACUAUAAUUAUAUAAUAGGUAAAUUUCUAUUGUAAAACCUCCGUAUGUGGAAUAUUUUUUGUAGUUUUCUUUCCAUUUAAUGUAUAUAUAAUCAAACCUGCACCCCCUUUU
rnacentral:lncRNA from 1 species